GGCAAACGCUGGGCGGCGUGCCUAAUACAUGCAAUUCGAGCGAAUCUGAGGGAGCUUGCUCCCAAAGAUUAGCGGCGGACGGGUGAGUAACACGUGGGCAACCUGCCUGUAAGACUGGGAUAACUCCGGGAAACCGGGGCUAAUACCGGAUAAUAUCUAUUUAUACAUAUAAUUAGAUUGAAAGAUGGUUCUGCUAUCACUUACAGAUGGGCCCGCGGCGCAUUAGCUAGUUGGUGAGGUAACGGCUCACCAAGGCGACGAUGCGUAGCCGACCUGAGAGGGUGAUCGGCCACACUGGGACUGAGACACGGCCCAGACUCCUACGGGAGGCAGCAGUAGGGAAUCUUCCGCAAUGGACGAAAGUCUGACGGAGCAACGCCGCGUGAGUGAUGAAGGUUUUCGGAUCGUAAAACUCUGUUGUUAGGGAAGAACAAGUACCGGAGUAACUGCCGGUACCUUGACGGUACCUAACCAGAAAGCCACGGCUAACUACGUGCCAGCAGCCGCGGUAAUACGUAGGUGGCAAGCGUUGUCCGGAAUUAUUGGGCGUAAAGCGCGCGCAGGCGGUUCCUUAAGUCUGAUGUGAAAGCCCACGGCUCAACCGUGGAGGGUCAUUGGAAACUGGGGAACUUGAGUGCAGAAGAGGAAAGUGGAAUUCCAAGUGUA
rnacentral:rRNA from 1 species